rnacentral:rRNA from 1 species
UACGUACGAGGCGAGCGUUAUCCGGAAUUACUGGGCGUAAAGGGUGCGUAGGCGGGUCUUUAAGUCAGGGGUGAAAUCCUGGAGCUCAACUCCAGAACUGCCUUUGAUACUGAGGAUCUUGAGUUCGGGAGAGGUGAGUGGAACUGCGAGUGUAGAGGUGAAAUUCGUAGAUAUUCGCAAGAACACCAGUGGCGAAGGCGGCUCACUGGCCCGAUACUGACGCUGAGGCACGAAAGCGUGGGGAGCAAACAGG